rnacentral:rRNA from 1 species
CCUACGGGAGGCAGCAGUGAGGAAUAUUGGUCAAUGGGCGCGAGCCUGAACCAGCCAAGUCGCGUGAAGGAUGACUGCCCUACGGGUUGUAAACCUCUUUUAUAAGGGAAUAAAGUGAGGCACGUGUGCCUUUUUGUAUGUACUUUAUGAAUAAGGAUCGGCUAACUCCGUGCCAGCAGCCGCGGUAAUACGGAGGAUCCGAGCGUUAUCCGGAUUUAUUGGGUUUAAAGGGAGCGUAGAUGGGUUGAUAAGUCAGUUGUGAAAUUUUGCGGCUCAACCGUGAAGUUGCAAUUGAUACUGGCAGUCUAGAGUACAGUUGAGGCAGGCGGAAUGCGGGGUGUAGCGGUGAAAUGCUUAGAUAUCACGAAGAACUCCGAUGGCGAAGGCAGCUUACUAAACUGCUACUGACAUUGAUGCGCGAAAGUGUGGGGAUCAAACAGGAUUAGAUACCCGAGUAGUC